rnacentral:rRNA from 1 species
GGAAUAUUGGACAAUGGGCGCAAGCCUGAUCCAGCAAUGCCGCGUGUGUGAAGAAGGCCUUCGGGUUGUAAAGCACUUUUGUACGGGAAGAAAAGUCCGGGGCGAAUAUCCUCGGAUCAUGACGGUACCGUAAGAAUAAGCACCGUCUAACUUCGUUCCAGCAGCCGCGGUAAUACGAAGGGUGCAAUCGUUAAUCGGAAGUACUGGGGGUAAAGCGUGCGUAGGCGGUUCGUUAAGUCUGUCGUGAAAGCCCUGGGCUCAACCUGGGAAUGGCGAUGGAUACUGGCGGGCUAGAGUCAGGUAGAGGGUGGUGGAAUUCCCGGUGUAGCGGUGAAAUGCGUAGAGAUCGGGAGGAACAUCUGUGGCGAAGGCGGCCACCUGGACCAUGACUGACGCUGAGGCACGAAAGCGUGGGGAGCAA